GCAGAGGGGGCCCAGCACACAGCUUCUACUCUUCUCUUCGCCUCUCUUCCAAUAACUCUCGCAAGACCGGCGGCCUUCUGAGCUUUGCCAUGGCAAUGCUCCGCACGGCACGCAGGCCGCGGGUCUCGCGAGAGUAAUUGGAAGAGAGGAGAAGAGAAGAGUAGAAGCUGUGUGCUGGGCCCCAUGU